rnacentral:rRNA from 1 species
UUAACACAUGCAAGUCGAACGAGAAGAGAUGAGAAGCUUGCUUCUUAUCGAUUCGAGUGGCAAACGGGUGAGUAACGCGUAAGCAACCUGCCCUCUAGAUGGGGACAACAGCUGGAAACGGCUGCUAAUACCGAAUACGUCCUUUCUGUCGCAUGGCAGAAGGAAGAAAGGGAGGCUCUUCGGAGCUUUCGCUGGAGGAGGGGCUUGCGUCUGAUUAGCUAGUUGGAGGGGUAACGGCCCACCAAGGCGACGAUCAGUAGCCGGUCUGAGAGGAUGAACGGCCACAUUGGGACUGAGACACGGUCCAGACUCCUACGGCAGGCAGCAGUGGGGAAUCUUCCGCAAUGGACGAAAGUCUGACGGAGCAACGCCGCGUGAACGAUGACGGCCUUCGGGUUGUAAAGUUCUGUUAUACGGGACGAAUGGUACGACGGUCAAUACCCGUCGUAAGUGACGGUACGGUAAGAGAAAGCCACGGCUAACUACGUGCCAGCAGCCGCGGUAAUACGUAGGUGGCAAGCGUUGUCCGGAAUUAUUGGGCGUAAAGGGCGCGCAGGCGGCGUCGUAAGUCGGUCUUAAAAGUGCGGGGCUUAACCCCGUGAGGGGACCGAAACUGCGAUGCUAGAGUAUCGGAGAGGAAAGCGGAAUUCCUAGCGUAGCGGUGAAAUGCGUAGAUAUUAGGAGGAACACCAGUGGCGAAAGCGGCUUUCUGGACGACAACCGACGCUGAGGCGAGAAAGCCAGGGGAGCAAACGGGAUUAGAUACCCCGGUAGUCCUGGCCGUAAACGAUGGAUACUAGGUGUAGGAGGUAUCGACCCCUUCUGUGCCGGAG